rnacentral:tRNA from 1 species
CUCAGUAGUUGAGUGGAUGACAUGAUGGCUUUUGAAGCGAAAGGUACUGGGUUCGAGUCCCAGAGUGAAUA